UACGUAGGGAGCGAGCGUUGUCCGGAUUCAUUGGGCGUAAAGAGCUCGUAGGCGGUUUGGUAAGUCGGAUGUGAAACCCCCAGGCUCAACCUGGGGCAGCCAUCCGAUACUGCCAUGACUCGAGUCCGGUAGGGGACCACGGAACUCCUGGUGUAGCGGUGAAAUGCGCAGAUAUCAGGAAGAACACCGAUGGCGAAGGCAGUGGGCUGGGCCGGUACUGACGCUGAGGAGCGAAAGCGUGGGGAGCGAACAGG
rnacentral:rRNA from 1 species